rnacentral:tRNA from 2 species
GCUCACGUGGCUCAGGGGUAGAGCACUUCCUUGGUAAGGAAGAGGUCCCGGGUUCAAAUCCCGGCGUGAGCUCCA